rnacentral:tRNA from 1 species
ACCUAGCUGGCUCAGUCAGUAGAGCACACGACUCUUGAUCUUGAGGUCAUGAAUUCAAGCCCCAUGCUGGGCC